UACGUAGGGUGCAAGCGUUAAUCGGAAUUACUGGGCGUAAAGCGUGCGCAGGCGGUUUUGUAAGUCUGUCGUGAAAGCCCCGGGCUCAACCUGGGAACAGCGCUUGAGACUGGCACGCUCGAGUUCGGGAGAGGAUGGUGGAAUUCCCAGUGUAGAGGUGAAAUUCGUAGAUAUUGGGAAGAACACCGAUGGCGAAGGCAGCCAUCUGGACCGACACUGACGCUGAGGCGCGAAAGCGUGGGGAGCAAACAGG
rnacentral:rRNA from 1 species